CCAAUGUGGAUACCCCUGGGAGGUUACUCUUCCAGGCUCGUCCAGGAGGCACAGGGGAGCAUAAGGCUCUGUCCCAUGAUGCACAAUCCCUUUCCAUAGCACUGGAGACAAGCCAGUCCCUUGAGUCUGUGCCUGAGCACUCCUAUGGCUUCUCAGAGUCCUAUAAAUAAUGACUGAGGAGACAAUCCAUUCAAGAAACAUCU